UCUUGUGCCCUAGCCAUCACCUUCGCCGAAUCCCUCUCCCUCCCGCGCCGAAUCCUCUUUCUCCCUCUCUUCCGCACGAUCGACGCCGACGACCCUCUCAUCACCGAUGCUGAUCCGCCCUCUUCGGUCACAAGCAAGAAGUGGUCCCUCUUCGAGCUUCCUUGCGCUGUCGCAGGACCCGAUUCUGGCCUUCCCUCUGCCCUAGCGUCGGCCGCCCGAUCCACUGCCACCUCUGGCCACGACAAGAGCUAGCCAGCAAGUGCAUUCCUUUAUGUUGGUAUGGAUUGGAUGAGGUAAGGGUUAAAGGUCUUGGAAGGGUUGGAAUGUUUGGUGCUAUGAUGUCUGGAAGUAGGAAUAAGUUGCAAGUUGUUUUCCUUUGACGUUAUUGCUUCACCUGGUGAGUUUUUCGGUUUUCAACUACGGAUUUGAGGUAUUUGUAAUCGAGUUCGGUGUUGCCCUGUCUCCCUUGGUUGGUUUGAGUUAUGGACAGGAUUCUUGUGAAUUCGUUUGGGUUUGGGAAGACGAUAUUUUUCUUUCCUAUUGCCUGUGUGAUUGUAGUCCGAUUUUGGUAGAUUAAGCUUGAUUGAUGAUGCUUUUGCUCCUCUUUAUGGCUUCCAGAAUUUCUGUACAGAUUAUACGUAGAUUAAGCUUCGAUGGUUGGAGGUUUUGUUCUUUUGGUACCUUCCAAAAUCUUGGAUAGAUUCUAUCAGUGGAUUUAGCUUGAUGAUUGGUAUGCAGGAUUAGAGUACGAAGUGACUUCUAUUUCUCAUGAUAUGCAUAUGAUGAUAGGUUAAAUUGGGUAUGCUGGAUUGUUAGUUCAUGUCCUUCUUGGAUUAGAUUGAAGCAUGUGAAGGAAGAGUUUGAAAUGGUUUAGAUUGAUUAACAGUUGAUACAUUGAUUAUAGAUUCUUAGUUUUGUCCUGUAUCUUGUAUUUGUAGGAUUUGAGUUGGAUGUGAUCUUUUGGAUCUUGUUGAAGAUGGUUGACACGAGCUACGAAUAAAGGCGGAUACUUCUUGCUUUGUUUCUUUUA